UAUUUGAGCUGAGAUCAUGUAAUCCUACAAAAUGAGAAUGAGUAUGAAAUUAGGAGAAGACAGAGAAAGAAAAUAUGUUUUUUGAAACACUACAAUCAUUUACUGUUCAAAGAGAAUGAGUUUGAAACAAGGAGAAGGCAAAGAAAGAAAAUCAAGCCUUGCUACAACUGUUUGUUUGCCAAAUGACUUUCCAAUUUUAGUAUGGAGGAUAUUAGUUUUGAACAAUAAAAUUCAUUACAGGUGCUAGUACUAGCACCUGGUCUAUAAUUGCAAUAUGUUAUGCUGAUUGUUGUUCCUUUCUUCAUUCUUAAGAAGAAUGAUUUCGAGAGGUGGGCAAUGUUAUAAUUAAGUAGUUAUUGAUCAGAGUUGGAUUAUGUCGUUACAUAUUGAAGUGGGAAAUGAGAGUGAAUGGUAUAAAUAGCCCUUGCAUUGUUAUUGAUAGGCAUUCAUCAAAUCAA
rnacentral:misc_RNA from 1 species